rnacentral:rRNA from 1 species
UACGUAGGGGGCGAGCGUUGUCCGGAUUUAUUGGGCGUAAAGAGCUCGUAGGCGGCUUGGCAAGUCGGGUGUGAAACCUCCAGCUCAACCUGGAGACGCCACUCGAUACUGCCAUGGCUAGAGUCCGGUAGGGGACCACGGAAUUCCUGGAUGUAGCGGUGAAAUGACGCAGAUAUCAGGAGGAACACCGGUGGCGAAGGCGGGUCUCUGGGCCGAUACUGACGCUGAGGUGCGAAAGCGUGGGGAGCAAACAGG